ACGGAAGGCAGCAGUGAGGAAUAUUGGUCAAUGGACGAGAGUCUGAACCAGCCAAGUAGCGUGCAGGAUGACGGCCCUAUGGGUUGUAAACUUCUUUUGUUCGGGAAUAAAGUGCGGGACGUGUCCCGCUUUGCAUGUACCGUUCGAAUAAGCAUCGGCUAAUUCCGUGCCAGCAGCCGCGGUAAUACGGAAGAUGCGAGCGUUAUCCGGAUUUAUUGGGUUUAAAGGGAGCGUAGGCGGUCCUUUAAGUCAGCGGUCAAAUGUCAGCGCCCAACGCUGGCCUGCCGUUGAUACUGGAGGACUUGAAUACACACAAGGAAGGUGGAAUUCGUCGUGUAGCGGUGAAAUGCUUAGAUAUGACGAAGAACUCCGAUUGCGAAGGCAGCCUUCUGGAGUGCGAUUGACGCUGAGGCUCGAAAGCGCGGGUAUCAAACAGGAUUAGAUACCCUGGUA
rnacentral:rRNA from 1 species